GAAGAGGGCCCGGCGGCCCGUGGGGGGCGAGGGCGGCGGGCCCGCCUGCAGGGAGCUGAGCGCGGCCUGGCGCUGCUCCCGGGAGACGUCCCCGCGCAGAUCCAAGAGGGCAGAGACGUGGUCCUCGCUGCGGGGGCGCCGGGAAGAGAACCACGCACCUACGCUGUUUCUUCACUGCCAACCUCAUCCCGAGACCCCAAGGGAGCCUCACCUGGAGCUCCACCAACAGCGCCUCCAACACCAGGCGACAGAUCCUCCUCUGCAGCUCGUCCAGCGCGGCUUCUACCGGAGCCAAGGCUCCCGGAGCCGCCCCGUCGGGCUGUAGCACCGACACCGAGGAGCUGGACAGACCAAAAAUUCGCUUCAGGACCAAGGCCAAGGCCCGCACGGCCCUCCGCAGUCCGGCCUCUCGGGCGCCACCUCGUGGCAGGAGUGUGUGGCUGUUCCCACUCCUGGGAAAGUCUUGAGAUGCGGAUUAAAGCUGGGGGCGGGGGCGGAGGGCUCUCUGUGACCUAGAAGAAGGGACACAGCCCAGCGGAACCUGCCUCUGUGUGGCCUUGAACAAGUUACUCUUUAGAUUUCUGUUUCCUUGUCCGUCGGGGGAGGGAGUUCAUCUCAGCCAGGAGGGAAUAAAAAACCAUUAUCGCCUGUG